rnacentral:lncRNA from 1 species
GAGGAGAGAGCAUCCGUUAAUAUGUAACUGGCCCAUGGAAACGUAUGCCUCCCUUUUUUAAUAUUAUUUUUGUUACCGUUAAACAUGGCCAGCUGUCCCCACUGUUGGCUAUUGAAGAGAGCCGUUGGAGCUCUCUCUUUUUGUCAAAUAAUACACUGCCACUUCUAAUAGAAAAAAUGAGAAGAUAUUUUUGUUAUUCUUAUUUUUUCUAAUAAUUAUUUGAAGCUUAAUUUUAAUUGGUCAAAUUGG